CACUCCUGCGGGAGGCAGCAGUGGGGAAUUUUGGACAAUGGGCGAAAGCCUGAUCCAGCAAUGCCGCGUGAGUGAAGAAGGCCUUCGGGUUGUAAAGCUCUUUUGUCAGGGAAGAAACGGUGAAAGCUAAUAUCUUUUGCUAAUGACGGUACCUGAAGAAUAAGCACCGGCUAACUACGUGCCAGCAGCCGCGGUAAUACGUAGGGUGCAAGCGUUAAUCGGAAUUACUGGGCGUAAAGCGUGCGCAGGCGGUUUUGUAAGUCUGAUGUGAAAUCCCCGGGCUCAACCUGGGAAUUGCAUUGGAGACUGCAAGGCUAGAAUCUGGCAGAGGGGGGUAGAAUUCCACGUGUAGCAGUGAAAUGCAUAGAUAUGUGGAGGAACACCGAUGGCGAAGGCAGCCCCCUGGGUCAAGAUUGACGCUCAUGCACGAAAGCGUGGGGAGCAAACAGGAUUAGAAACCCCGGUAGUCC
rnacentral:rRNA from 1 species